rnacentral:rRNA from 1 species
UACAGAGACUGCAAGCGUUAUUCGGAUUCACUGGGCGUAAAGGGUGCGCAGGCGGUCGGGUGUGUCAGAUGUGAAAUCCCGAGGCUCAACCUCGGAACUGCGUCUGAAACUACUCGACUAGAGUACUGGAGAGGGUAACGGAAUUCCUGGUGUAGCGGUGAAAUGCGUAGAUAUCAGGAGGAACACCGGUGGUGUAGACGGCUCACUGGACCGUAACUGACGCUGAGACACGAAAGCGUGGGUAGCAAACAGG